rnacentral:rRNA from 1 species
AACGAACGCUGGCGGCGUGCCUAACACAUGCAAGUCGAGCGAGAAAGGGGAGCAAUCCCCGAGUAAAGCGGCAGACGGGUGAGUAACACGUGGGUAAUCUGCCCUCGGGCGGGGAAUAACAUCUCGAAAGAGGUGCUAAUACCGCAUAACAUCCAUGGACCUGUGGGUUCGUGGAUCAAAGGUGGGGAGUCUUCGGACCUACCACUCGAGGAGGAGCCCGCGCCUGAUUAGCUAGNGGUUGGGGUAAGUGGCCUACCAAGGCGACGAUCAGUAGCCGGCCUGAGAGGGUGAACGGCCACACUGGAACUGAGACACGGUCCAGACUCCUACGGGAGGCAGCAGUGAGGAAUUUUGCGCAAUGGGCGAAAGCCUGACGCAGCAACGCCGCGUGGACGAUGAAGGUCUUCGGAU